rnacentral:lncRNA from 1 species
CAGAGAUGUCUUUUGCCUUCAGGAUGUAUCAGGUCACAGGAGAGAGGAGACUGGUUAUCAAGAAAGAGCAAAAAAACUUACAAGUAAAACACUGAAGACAAUGCAGGAGUACAAGAAGUAUGUAAAAUUAAUUUGGAGUAUUUCCUGAAGGUAGGUUUUGAAGGGAACCAGGAGAGAGGAAUCCCUGGUUUAGGGAUCAUAUAUCCUUCUCUACUUGAAGUAGAACCUAGCUCAAAUAGGAAUAUUUCUAAUCUUUAUCAUCUAAACUGAGCCUGGUGCCAGGAGCUUGGAUGCUGAUCCUGAUUGCAGUGACCAGGUUUCACACAUCCCAAUCAAACCCUUUAAAGCAUCUCCUCAUGUAGGAGCAGUUGAGAAGUACUUUUGGGGAAAACAAUUUUAACGAAUACCUCCAAAGCAAAACUAUAACCUCAUCAUAAUUCCUUUAUUUCUUUUGAAAUGGGUUUUAAACCAGAAUAACUAUUUCUAAUUGUUAGAAAUAUUUUAAAUAAUUGUCAGUAAUAAUCUUUACUAAUCAUGAAAAGAGAAACACAUGCAUUAGUCUUUUUCAAAGUAUCAUUUCUGAUCUUUUGCUCAGUAUGUGAGUUGCUGUUUUCCACCUUAUUUUGUGAUAAAGGUGUGGUACUCAUGUUCCCCACCCCCAUGCCCCCCAAACCAAUACUAGACUCCUCUAGAAUAGUGGAAGAACAGAAGUUAAAGGCAACCCUACACUCCCAGCAAACACUCAUCAGGUAUCACCUGGAAACCGUUCAAGGCAAAAACCAAAAAUGUUUAAGGGGCCUCUAGCUUCUUGGAGUUAAUAAUCCAUUCUGCCUACUGCCUCCCAGUUAUUUCACUGCUAUAUGACAGUCACCUCUGCAUUGUAUCACGCACUGAUUUCAUUCCUGGUAACUGUUGAAGGACUGACCUUUUCAGAUGAUUGGCGCUUCUAAAUAAAUCAGAUCCAUUUGAGGUCAUGUCUGGGGGAAUAUUAAGCUUGCAUUCUCACAUGCCUUCUUGAGUGGGUGAAAAACAAUUGGAAUUUCUGUACAGAAUUGGGUGUGAUGUAUGAAAUGGAUCCUGUUACUCAGCUGCAACCCAGAGUGAGGCAAAUAUCUCAAGAAAAACAUUUGAUAUGCAUUUUUCUGGGCUUUGUCAAUACCUGAAAACAAGAGGCAGUUUCUUCCAAGGAAGAGAUCAUGGAUGGUUGGUCUGAGGAACACAGAGAUUCCAGAUUGAUUUCCCCUCCCUCAGCUUGGGGUGCCACAUCUUCCUUAUCCACCCACCAAAGUCCUCGGAAGUAUUCUAUUACUAGCUCAAAUGCCUCUUCCUCCUUGAAACCUCAGUCACUGUCAGCACUGAUUUGUCUUUCCCUUGGAAUUCAUUGUGGUACAGCUAUCCCUAGUGUUACUCCUUUCCUCAUCUCUCAGUUUCACCUCACCCCCAGCAGUAUCUUGAGAGACUCCAGUGGAGUAUGAACAGCUGCAGGAUGCAGCAGAUGUGAGCAGCCACAGAGGAAAUCGAAGUCUCAGUGAAAUCCUAUAUGGAAACCCAGGCAAGCUGUGAAAUCGAAAUUAAGAAAGGUAGAAAAAAAAUGUAAAAUGUUGAAGAUUUAGCCUGAUAAAUUUUGAGCAAAAGAAGAAAGAAACAUGAUAUAGUGGAUAAGGCAGAACUUUGGGCUCAAAUCUGAGUGAAGUUUACAAAGUCCACUCAACCAGAUCCCUAGAGGAGAGAUAGAGCCAAGAAAAUGUUAGAAACUUGGUUGUAGAUUUUACAAGAUUGAACCAAGAGGGCCAAGUCUGUGGGGUAAUGGAAAAUAGAGUAGGCACUCCAAGAAUAAUACAUUGUUUUCUCAUUUAAAAAGUAAGGAAGCACAAUCUGAAAAGUAUGGGAAAGUGCAAGUUUAGGCCUGCGUUGAGAGAUGCCAUGGCAUAUCAUUAUGCCUUGAGUUCAGCUGCCACCUCCGCCACAAAGUUCUGUGCCCAUGGGCAAUUCUUUAACCUCUCGACGCCUAAGUUCCUCUACCUGCCAAAUGGGAAAUGAUAAUGGCCACCUCAUGGUAUUCUUGUAAAGACUGGAGGAGUUGCCAAAAAUGGUGCCUGGUACAUAGUGAGUACUAUGUUAUUUUAUUACACAUGAAAUUUGAAAGUUCUCCUUGGUGAUUUAUUUGGAAUCAAUAAACUUUAGGAAUAACCUUAUCAAAUUUUUCAUAAAUGAUGAAACACAGUGUGAUUAUGUGACCUUUAUAAGCCAUUUGAAUUGCAUUUUAUUAUCCACCAGUCUCUUUAGGUCAUUUUUAAAUGACUUCAUGUAUUUAAAUCUUGUCUUCCAGUAUGACUCUUGAAUGCAGGAAGUUCUGUCUUAACCUUAUGUGACACAAUGUGAGGCACAUAUAUCAGAGCUUACUAAUACCUGUUAGUUCCUUUAAAAUGCAAACUUUCAAAUGUACCCCAAUGACAGUCAUUUACACAUUAGCAAUAAGUUUCUUUCUUUGUAAGUAUUUAUUUGGCUGUUAGUUGUGGCACUCAGGAUCUUCAGUCUUCCUGUGGCAUGCAAACUCAGCUGUGGCAUGUAGGAUCUAGUUCCCAGACCGGGGAUCAAACCCAGGACGCCUGCGUUGGGAGCAUGAAGUCUUAGUGAAGCCACUGGAUCACCAGGGAAGUCCCAGCUUCUUUCUUUUUUAAUGCCAUCUUGGAAAACCCAGAUGUCCCUGGUAGAAAGGUCUGGAUAAGUAAGUGUUAACAAAGGGAGAGAAGACCCCAGAAGGAAAUGUGGCUGCGGCAGCAGAUCUUGCUGGGUCUCGAUAGAGGAAAUAAAAUGUGUUUACUGAAAAGUUUUAUGAAAACAAAACAGAAGGUAUAACAAGGACCAUGACUCAUACUUUUCAACUGCCCCCUCUGUCCAGCUAUGGCAGGCUCCUUUUCAUGUGUUUUUCCGCAGAUGUUGGGCCCCUGUCCUCAGGCUCACAGCCCAUUGAAGAAACUGGUCAGCAGCUUCGAAAAACAACCCAGGGCAUGGAAGAAGGCCCUGCAGGGCCCCAGAGCUCAGAACUUGACCUGAAGCUUUGACCAGGAGGUAACAUUUGUCCUUCCUAUUAACCAAAUGUAAGGGACCUGUUGGAACAGCAAGGACACAGGGAGGAUCGAAUCAUUUCACUAAACCAUCCAUUUGUGAGCCGUUUCAAAUUUACCGAUUUCCUGCUGGGGCAGUGGGAGAGGGAAAAUGAGAAGAAAAACCAAGUCCAGUGGUCUUAAUUCUGAGGGCCUGCAUGGGGCAGAGAAUAUGCUUUGAUGGAAAGGCAAGACUUUUCUCUGGGAUAUGUAGAAUUGGAGGCAAGGGGAAGCAGGAGGGAGGUUGGGAAUGUAGGCUCUGGAGGAGGGAAGUAGGAAGUGAGUUCUGUCCUCCCAGUGGGCUUUCCCUCCCCAAGCAGAUCACUAGCACAGACGGGAGUGACUAUUAGGAGAGAUGGGGGUUCCGUUCAAAAGCUGGAUGGGCUGGUGACUGUCCCUUUGCCACAGAGCUAGAGUGGCAGUGCAGCAUGCAUCCCAGAGGUCUGGCAUGCCAAGCUCCAGGAGGACCCCAAGGUCAAGUGGACAGAGCAGGAACAGGGUUUGUGCCAUCUCGCCAAUCUACUGCCCUGUCUGAGAGGGUGCUCUCCAGAUGAGGUCCAUCAGGGGCCUGUGGGGUGUGUAGCCAGCAAUGAAAACUGAGGGGAGCAGAAGGAGGCUGAGCCAGAUGUUCCCCCUUCUUCCCAGCAACGAUGCCCACAUCCUGUCCAGCCUACAUCCAUCCAUCAGAUUUAGGAACUUCAAAGUAGAGACAGGGUGUACAGCCAGUUGAGUUGCCAGAUAAAACACAGGACACCCAAUUAAAUUUGAACUAAAGACAAACAAGGAAUAAUUGUUAUUGCAUGAGACAUACACUAAAAAAAGACUAUUCCUUGUUUAUCUGAAAUUAAAAUCUUACUGGCUGUCCUGAUUUUUUUAAAUUGUUUUGCUAAAUCUGGUAUUUCGAUUAACAGGACAACAUGCUAAAUGAAUCUCAACAUUUUUGAGGAUGGUAUUAAAGUAAUAGGGUCUUGUCAUGUCUGGGCAGUUGUAGGAAUUUCCAGAAGUGGUGCUGAGUUCUCCAGGCUCUGGGAUUUUGUUACUGACUCCCAGGUGACAGUUUCCUUUCCAAGCACUUGGCCCCUCUUCCCUCUGGGAGCUAUGAGAGAAAAGAAAAAAGAAAUAUACUAUACAAGCUGAUUUGAUGGGCCAGCCAAAGGAACUGGCAGUAACUCAGGGGUUUCAAACUGUGGGUCACAACUCCUGCAGGUUGUGAACCCAGGUCAUGCCAGCAUGAGUAGGGGAUAGGGUGGAUUAGGGAAGGGGAUCAGAGUGUACAGCCUGUAUUUUUUUUUCAACUGCUCUCCCUUUUUAAUCAAUUUUACACAAUGAUAUUGUACAUGAGUAAUCACAGUAAGAGACAGGAUGGGUUUCCUAUACACAUACAAGACGUACAAGCUCAUUCACUGAGGCUUUUAGAAGGUUUUAUCAGUACAAAACUUGUUAAUACAGGUGAAGCCCAAGAAUACAGUAAACAUGACAGAACAUCAACUCAGCAGAGGUGAAUUCUUAAGGCGUUUGUCUCCUGCCCACACUGUCUGCCAUGAACCAAGUAUAGAGGACUUUCUCUCUCGGGUAUUUAACCUUUGAUGAGCACAGGCCUGUGGGACAUGCAGCUUCACAGUGAGCCCACAGCUCAACCACACCAACCUUGACACAAGCAAAGGAUAUCUUCCUUUCUCAAGUAUUCUCAAGAGUAAAAAAGCUAUUCCUGGUCACCCUACUCCUUUGGGUAACCUACAUUCUAAAAUCUAUGAUUAUUAAUCUGGUAACAUUCUCAAGCAUUUUUGGCAAGAUAUCUCAAAUAUCUCAUCACUGUUCAUCUACUCACUAAAAAUUCUUUGAGCUUCAUAAAGAUUGUUUCUGAUUUUCCCCUCAAAGUAUGACAAUUACAUACAGAAUAAACGUGCUAGAGUUAACAGAACUAAACAGAGGGCAGACUUUUCCUUACAAAAUAAAGCAGUAAUGGAGAUAUAAGAGAAUAGUCUAGUAUACACAUUAAUGGAGGAAGCUGAGUCCACUAAUGAUUCUGUCACUUCUACCCAGUCCACUAACAGUUCUGAGCGAGUGUGUUUCUACUUUCCUUUUUCACACCCAAUCUCAUUAGCCACAGGAACUGUUAAAAGUUCACAAUGUUGACCUUCACUUGGCCCAUGGAAUUCCCAUGAUACGCAAUGGGGAAACUGCCCACCAGCCCUCACAGUCAGCUACUGCUUCCCAUGGCCAGAGCUAGACCUCAUCACUGCCUGGGAUGGAUUUUAGUUCUCUCACUUACAUACCUCAGGAACAUAGAGGUUCAAAGACUACAUUAAACAAAGGCUUGCAGGACACAUUAGGGAAAGAAAAACCCAUGCAUCACAUCCACAUCUAUUUUCCAUCCUUCACAAAGCCUAACCCUCUUACAACAAAACAGGCUUUUGUAAGCAGGUUUUUAAAAAGAUAAAGCAGGAGAAAUCAGUAACUGGCUGUGAUUUGACCUAAAGUAGAGAAAGAAAACAAAAUGUUUGCUAGAUUUUAAAAAUGACAAUUUUACAAAGACAAUCUUCAAUCUGUAAUUUUAUUACUUAACUGUCUCUAGAAGCAGAGUAUUAAUACAAAAUAAAAACUGAUUUUUUCAUUAGACAAUUCCACAAAAUUUCAAUAAACAUUUAACAUUCAUUAUUUUAGUAAAUUUUAUGUAAUAAUCCGUGACUACCGAAGGUUUCCUAUGUGUGAUUUUAUACUUUUGCACAAUCCUUCAUAUAAACUAGGUACUGGGAGGAAGUGUGGUAAGAAGCAGCCAAAGGACAGCUGUUCCUCUUUCCUGAAAGUAAAAUCAAAUUACUAUCUAUCUCACACCCACCACUGCCAUGCACACAGUUGUUAGUUGCUGAGUCGUGUCUGACUCAGUGACCCAGUGGACUAUAGCCUGCCAGACUCCUCUGUCCACGGGAUUUCCCUGACAAGAAUAUUGGAGUGGGUUGCCAUUUCCUUCUCUACUGCUUGUAUUUUAUCUCAAAAAAAUCUUGUAUCUCUGAGUUAUUGUGUGUAUACAUGACUAACAAUAUUUCUUACUGUAGUCAGGUUCCAAAAUGUUUGAAAGACACUAAUGAUGAUGUUGAGGCUUGCAGGACAUUAUUGUGAAAACUGUUGGAUCAACAGCCAGGAUGAGUUGGUUUCACACCCAUGGGUUAGGGUAAGCUUUGCCUUGGUCUGGAGAAAUCACCCUCUGGAACCAUCUUAUCUUUUCAUGGAAUCUUCAGUCCCUGCAUAUAAAUGGCCAAUGCUUAAUUUAAAUCAUUUAAAGUUCCCAGGUUUGUUCAUUUUGUUUACUGUACUGUAAUAACUUAUUAAAAACUUACAUGGAAUUGAACAUUGUUGCACCUGGUCUUAGGCAUUAAAUAUGUUAUAAUGUGGGACUAAAGGCAUUGUCCAAAUGGCCAUAGUGGGUUUUCUUAAUUUAUUUUUUUAUUGAAGGAUAAUUGCUUUACAGAAAACCAUAGUGGUUUUAACAUUUGCUUUAUUUCCUCCUCUAAAGGAAAGGUUUUUCACUGAAAAAUCCAUGGAGAUUACUUGGGAUAAUUCCCCAAAGCUACCCUAAAUGGUUUUGACAGAGUCAUAAUUUCUCUCAUGCAAAGAAUAUAUGAUGCUUUUACUUAGAAAGUGGAAGAAGAAAUGUUUGCAGUUGUACUUUGAAUUUUUAAAAAAUUCCUAUAACAAUUAGCUCUUGAUUCAGAAAUUAUAAAUAAAGCUAUUUUAUCAUCCAGUGUCACUGAAACAUUUUGUCCUGUGAUGUUUUAGUUUUUAUUGUUCUUAGAGAUUUAAUUUUUAUCUUGCACU